rnacentral:rRNA from 1 species
UACGGAGGGUCCAAGCGUUAUCCGGAAUCAUUGGGUUUAAAGGGUCCGUAGGCGGUUUUGUAAGUCAGUGGUGAAAGCCCAUCGCUCAACGGUGGAACGGCCAUUGAUACUGCAAGACUUGAAUUAUUGGGAAGCAACUAGAAUAUGUAGUGUAGCGGUGAAAUGCUUAGAGAUUACAUGGAAUACCAAUUGCGAAGGCAGGUUGCUACCAAUACAUUGACGCUGAUGGACGAAAAGCGUGGGGAGCAAACAGGG